UACGAAGGGGGCUAGCGUUGUUCGGAAUUACUGGGCGUAAAGGGCGCGUAGGCGGUGUGUCAAGUCAGGCGUGAAAGCCCCGGGCUCAACCGGGGAAGUGCCUUUGAUACUGAUGGUCUCGAGGGGGAUAGGGGCGUGCGGAACUUCCGGUGGAGCGGUGAAAUGCGUAGAUAUCGGAAGGAACACCGGUGGCGAAAGCGGCGCGCUGGAUCCCUUCUGACGCUGAGGCGCGAAAGCCAGGGGAGCGAACGGG
rnacentral:rRNA from 1 species